rnacentral:rRNA from 1 species
UACGUAGGGUGCGAGCGUUAUUCGGAAUUACUGGGCGUAAAGCGUGCGUAGGCGGGUUUUUAAGCCCGAUGUGAAAUCCCCGGGCUUAACCUGGGAAUGGCGUUUGGGACUGGGAGUCUGGAGUGCGGCAGAGGAGACUGGAAUUCCUGGUGUAGCAGUGAAAUGCGUAGAUAUCAGGAGGAACACCGAUGGCGAAGGCAGGUCUCUGGGCUGACACUGACGCUCAGGCACGAAAGCGUGGGGAGCAAACAGG